rnacentral:rRNA from 1 species
UACGGAGGGUGCGAGCGUUGUCCGGAAUCACUGGGCGUAAAGGGCGCGUAGGCGGCUCGGUAAGUAGGGGGUGAAAUCCUGCGGCUUAACCGCAGGGCUGCCUUCUAAACUGUCGAGCUUGAGCACGGUAGAGGCAGAUGGAAUCCCCGGUGUAGCGGUGGAAUGCGUAGAGAUCGGGAAGAACAUCAGUGGCGAAGGCGGUCUGCUGGGCCGUUGCUGACGCUGAGGCGCGACAGCGUGGGGAGCAAACAGG